GACCUAGUGGUGAAUGGAUCACAUCUGCUCUUCUUGCCUCAGAGAUUGUGGUAGUACUGCAGAAGGCCCCAGUUCGAUUCCGGGCUGGGUCA